rnacentral:rRNA from 1 species
GAUGAACGCUGACAGAAUGCUUAACACAUGCAAGUCUACUUGAACUUCGGUUUGGGUGGCGGACGGGUGAGUCACGCGUAAAGAACUUGCCUCACAGAUAGGGACAACAUUUGGAAACGAAUGCUAAUACCUGAUAUUAUGAUUUUAGGGCAUCCUAGAAUUAUGAAAGCUAUAUGCACUGUGAGAGAGCUUUGCGUCCCAUUAGCUAGUUGGAGAGGUAACGGCUCACCAAGGCGAUGAUGGGUAGCCGGCCUGAGAGGGUGAUCGGCCACAAGGGGACUGAGACACGGCCCUUACUCCUACGGGAGGCAGCAGUGGGGAAUAUUGGAAAAUGGACCAAGAGUCUGAUCAAGCAAUUCUGUGUGCACGAUGAAGUUUUUCGGAAUGUAAAGUGCUUUCAGUUGGGAAGAAAAAAAUGACGGUACCAACAGAAGAAGUGACGGCUAAAUACGUG